UUCGAAUCGAUUCGAUCUGAUUCGCGUUCGAUUGAAUUAUUCGAUGCACGUUUCGUGUGCAACAUUUUUAAUUUAAGUUUGACGGGAUCGCGUUCUGUUUUUUUCUCUGGUAUGGUCGAUUCGUGAAUAGAUUUCAAAUGGGACCAAAACGCAUCAGUAAUAACGGUACCAAAAUUAUGUUACUUCAUCGAAUAGAAUGUAUAUCAUCGAUAACAUACGGACAUUAAGAUAGAAAUUAGAUCGGAAAAGCAGUUGACGAAUUGGAUAAAGAUCAAAGAAGAAUCGUGACUUGAAACAACAAAUUCGUACUCUUUCAAUUAUAAUGAAAUAACGACAUGUGAGACAACAUUAGAAAUUAUUAUAACAAUGUUAUCAGCAGGAUCAGAAUGAAAUUUAUUUACUGAUUUUCAAUACACGAAUCAUCACAUAUAUAUGAUUCUAAGUCAUAUAACAUGAUUUUGAAUAACACGGAAUCAAUUAAUCGUAUUAUUCGAGGAUUUCAUAUAUAUCGUAAGUUUGAAAUCAAAUAAAUAGAUAAAACAGAUGAAUAUUACACUGUCAAAAGUAAAUAGAAUCACGUCCUGCAUAAAUCGUUCGAAGUUUGAAUUUCGACAAAAAAAAUGAAAACGAACGAAAAGAUGUUUGAAGCGCG